rnacentral:rRNA from 1 species
AUGAACGCUAGCUACAGGCUUAACACAUGCAAGUCGAGGGGCAGCAUGGUCUUAGCUUGCUAAGGCCGAUGGCGACCGGCGCACGGGUGAGUAACACGUAUCCAACCUGCCGUCUACUCUUGGACAGCCUUCUGAAAGGAAGAUUAAUACAAGAUGGCAUCAUGAGUCCGCAUGUUCACAUGAUUAAAGGUAUUCCGGUAGACGAUGGGGAUGCGUUCCAUUAGAUAGUAGGCGGGGUAACGGCCCACCUAGUCUUCGAUGGAUAGGGGUUCUGAGAGGAAGGUCCCCCACAUUGGAACUGAGACACGGUCCAAACUCCUACGGGAGGCAGCAGUGAGGAAUAUUGGCCAAUGGGCGAGAGCCUGAACCAGCCAAGUAGCGUGAAGGAUGACUGCCCUAUGGGUUGUAAACUUCUUUUAUAAAGGAAUAAAGUCGGGUAUGGAUACCCGUUUGCAUGUACUUUAUGAAUAAGGAUCGGCUAACUCCGUGCCAGCAGCCGCGGUAAUACGGAGGAUCCGAGCGUUAUCCGGAUUUAUUGGGUUUAAAGGGAGCGUAGAUGGAUGUUUAAGUCAGUUGUGAAAGUUUGCGGCUCAACCGUAAAAUUGCAGUUGAUACUGGAUAUCUUGAGUGCAGUUGAGGCAGGCGGAAUUCGUGGUGUAGCGGUGAAAUGCUUAGAUAUCACGAAGAACUCCGAUUGCGAAGGCAGCCUGCUAAGCUGCAACUGACAUUGAGGCUCGAAAGUGUGGGUAUCAAACAGGAUUAGAUACCCUGGUAGUCCACACGGUAAACGAUGAAUACUCGCUGUUUGCGAUAUACUGCAAGCGGCCAAGCGAAAGCGUUAAGUAUUCCACCUGGGGAGUACGCCGGCAACGGUGAAACUCAAAGGAAUUGACGGGGGCCCGCACAAGCGGAGGAACAUGUGGUUUAAUUCGAUGAUACGCGAGGAACCUUACCCGGGCUUAAAUUGCAGAUGAAUUACGGUGAAAGCCGUAAGCCGCAAGGCAUCUGUGAAGGUGCUGCAUGGUUGUCGUCAGCUCGUGCCGUGAGGUGUCGGCUUAAGUGCCAUAACGAGCGCAACCCUUGUUGUCAGUUACUAACAGGUUCCGCUGAGGACUCUGACAAGACUGCCAUCGUAAGAUGUGAGGAAGGUGGGGAUGACGUCAAAUCAGCACGGCCCUUACGUCCGGGGCUACACACGUGUUACAAUGGGGGGUACAGAGGGCCGCUACCACGCGAGUGGAUGCCAAUCCCAAAAACCUCUCUCAGUUCGGACUGGAGUCUGCAACCCGACUCCACGAAGCUGGAUUCGCUAGUAAUCGCGCAUCAGCCACGGCGCGGUGAAUACGUUCCCGGGCCUUGUACACACCGCCCGUCAAGCCAUGGGAGCCGGGGGUACCUGAAGUGCGUAACCGCGAGGAGCGCCCUAGGGUAAAACUGGUGACUGGGGC